AGAACGAACGCUGGCGGCAUGCCUAAUACAUGCAAGUCGAACGAAGGCUUCGGCCUUAGUGGCGCACGGGUGCGUAACGCGUGGGAAUCUGCCCCUUGGUUCGGAAUAACAGUUGGAAACGACUGCUAAUACCGGAUGAUGACGAAAGUCCAAAGAUUUAUCGCCAAGGGAUGAGCCCGCGUAGGAUUAGCUAGUUGGUGGGGUAAAGGCUCACCAAGGCGACGAUCCUUAGCUGGUCUGAGAGGAUGAUCAGCCACACUGGGACUGAGACACGGCCCAGACCUCCGUACGGGAGGCAGCAGUAGGGAAUAUGGACAAGUGGGCAAAGCCUGAUCCAGCAAUGCCGCGUGAGUGAGUGAAGGUCCGUUAGGUUAGUAAAGCUCGUUUACCGAGAUGAUAAUGACAGUAGUCGGAAG
rnacentral:rRNA from 1 species